rnacentral:rRNA from 1 species
GAGGAAUAUUGGUCAAUGGACGGAAGUCUGAACCAGCCAAGUAGCGCGCAGGAUGACGGCCCUAUGGGUUGUAAACUGCUUUUGUAUGGGGAUAAAGUUAGGGACGUGUCCCUAUUUGCAGGUACCAUACGAAUAAGGACCGGCUAAUUCCGUGCCAGCAGCCGCGGUAAUACGGAAGGUCCAGGCGUUAUCCGGAUUUAUUGGGUUUAAAGGGAGCGUAGGCUGGAGAUUAAGUGUGUUGUGAAAUGUAGACGCUCAACGUCUGAAUUGCAGCGCAUACUGGUUUCCUUGAGUACGCACAACGUUGGCGGAAUUCGUCGUGUAGCGGUGAAAUGCUUAGAUAUGACGAAGAACUCCGAUUGCGAAGGCAGCUGACGGGAGCGCAACUGACGCUUAAGCUCGAAGGUGCGGGUAUCAAACAGGAUUAGAUACCCUGGUAGUCCGCACAGUAAACGAUGGAUGCCCGCUGUUGGUACCUGGUAUCAGCGGCUAAGCGAAAGCAUUAAGCAUCCCACCUGGGGAGUACGCCGGCAACGGUG